UAGUUAGUUGGUGGGGUAAAGGCCUACCAAGACAAUGAUGCAUAGCCGAGUUGAGAGACUGAUCGGCCACAUUGGGACUGAGACACGGCCCAAAUUCCUACGGGAGGCUGCAGUAGGGAAUCUUCCACAAUGGGCGAAAGCCUGAUGGAGCAACGCCGCGUGUGUGAUGAAGGCUUUCGGGUCGUAAAGCACUGUUGUAUGGGAAGAAAAGUUAAGGUAGGGAAUGACCUUAGCCUGACGGUACCAUACCAGAAAGGGACGGCUAAAUACGUGCCAGCAGCCGCGGUAAUACGUAUGUCCCGAGCGUUAUCCGGAUUUAUUGGGCGUAAAGCGAGCGCAGACGGUUGGUUAAGUCUGAUGUGAAAGCCCGGAGCUCAACUCCGGAAAGGCAUUGGAAACUGGUUAACUUGAGUGCAGUAGAGGUAAGUGGAACUCCAUGUGUAGCGGUGGAAUGCGUAGAUAUAUGGAAGAACACCAGCGGCGAAGGCGGCUUACUGGACUGUAACUGACGUUGAGGCUCGAAAGUGUGGGUAGCAAACAGGAUUAGAUACCCUGGUAGUCCACACCGUAAACGAUGAACACUAGGUGUUAGGAGGUUUCCGCCUCUUAGUGCCGAAGCUAACGCAUUAAGUGUUCCGCCUGGGGAGUACGACCGCAAGGUUGAAACUCAAAGGAAUUGACGGGGACCCGCACAAGCGGUGGAGCAUGUGGUUUAAUUCGAAGCAACGCGAAGAACCUUACCAGGUCUUGACAUCCUUUGAAGCUUUUAGAAAUAGAAGUGUUCUCUUCGGAGACAAAGUGACAGGUGGUGCAUGGUCGUCGUCAGCUCGUGUCGUGAGAUGUUGGGUUAAGUCCCGCAACGAGCGCAACCCUUAUUGUUAGUUGCCAGCAUUCAGAUGGGCACUCUAGCGAGACUGCCGGUGACAAACCGGAGGAAGGCGGGGACGACGUCAGAUCAUCAUGCCCCUUAUGACCUGGGCUACACACGUGCUACAAUGGCGUAUACAACGAGUUGCCAACCUGCGAAGGUGAGCUAAUCUCUUAAAGUACGUCUCAGUUCGGACUGCAGUCUGCAACUCGACUGCACGAAGUCGGAAUCGCUAGUAAUCGCGGAUCAGCACGCCGCGGUGAAUACGUUCCCGGGUCUUGUACACACCGCCCGUCACACCAUGGAAGUUUGUAAUGCCCAAAGCCGGUGGCCUAACCGUAAGGAGGGAACCGUCUAAGGC
rnacentral:rRNA from 1 species